CUGGGGCGUCAGGGAGCCAGAGAAAGCACUGCACUGGAGAAGGGAUGCUGACUGCUGUUCUGCAUGAAGUCAGUAUUAUUCAUACAUCCCUGGGAUGGCAACAGCUCCCGGUUUCUUGGGGCCAGGACGGAAUCUGAAUAAGUAGUAAAGAGAUUAAAGGCUUGGGGAUCUGAGUGAGCCCUUACAGCUGGGAGUUACCACAGCAAAAUACAUAAAUAAAUAAAAAUGCAAAGGUGGCGUCAAGGUGGAACCUUUUCAAAAUUUGGGUCAAAUUUAACAAAUAGUUUUGAAAUAGUUUUGUCUUAAAAACAUGUAGAGGACCAGUUUGAAAACAUAUAAAUAAAUAAAUAAAUAAAUAUCAGCAUAUUUAGGCUACCCCAGGCUUUAGGGAGCUCCCAGUUCAGAGAAAGCAUGAAAUGUAAGUACUUUAUAUGAUGUUUACUGUGACCAUCAUACUCAUUAUGCCUAUGAAAUGCUUUUUUUUUUUUUUUUUCCUUCAGAUGCUGAAAUCUGUUGACAAUCAGGACUCUUCUGAGUCCCCCAGGAUUGUUUUGGUGUUAUGCUGUGGGAUCUUUCCUUGUAAUUACCACGGAAAGGCAAAUUGCAGCAGGCAUUUUAAAAUAACGUGUUUAAAUACUGACCUUUUUCAAAGGCUUUGAUGAAAGAUGUGAAAAAUUGGAAUUCAUUAUAAUAUUUCUAAUUUCCUGACGUGAAAAUAGGAAAGACUUUCUCAAUGUGCGUCUUCUCAAAUAGUCACCAUCAAGUGUCCUAGUUUAACAAAGAUCCCUUGACUCUAUGCAUGCCAAUGAACUUAACUAUUGAAUAUAUAAAUCGGUGCUAAUGCAUGCUCUACAAAAGGAAAGGAUUUCUUUCUGUGUAUACAUUGCUGUCAUACAAUUCAUUACUGUGGUGUAAAUGACUGAAUGAGUUUGAUCUAAAGGUGCAUAAAUACAUUUAAAUGGAUUUAAAAUUAGGACUAUUAAAUUAACUACGUGAUUCCCCCAAGAGCGUUUUGGGGGAAAAUUAAAUUCAGAACAUAUAAAAUGUAGAAGAUUCAUAUAUAUAUAUAUGCAUAUAUAUAUAUAUAUGCUUUCAACAUUGCCAUCGUUUGUUUUUUAUCUAGUCAAAAGAAAACACAAAAAUAAUUCCUACAGCAAUUUCGAGGGCCGUAGGGAAGGUAAGCAAAGCAUCUGGAUGCUGUUUACUCCUGACAGGCAGAGGCAGAAUGCUGGUUUGGUGCCAGUUCCUUCGGUUUUCUGUGGGCGGGGUUGUUGGGGGGUUUAUCACAGACUUGAAAGACCCUAACCUAAACCAUUCUUCAAGGCUUUGUUUAAAUGUACAAUGAGACAGUCCCCGCUCUAAAGAAUUUACCGUCUAAGCAGAAAAAACAAAGGCUUUGGAGGAGAGAUGUAUUAUCUCCCUCUUGCAGAUGGAGAACUGAGAGGCAUAACAGAUUAAGUGAAUUGCCUCUGAUCGUUUAAGACAAUCUGUGAGAGCCGUGCAGUGAACUUGGAUAACGUAAGCCACAAAAUCGUCCUUCCCCGUGUGGGCCAUGGGGCGAAGGGAGCCAUCUCCCCUGGGACGUGAGUUCUUCUUCUUCUUUGUGUUCAAGGCUCGAUAGUCACGCACGGCUUCCCUUGGCACCCUUCGCGUGCUCCUGGCAUCUCUCGGGCCAAAGCCCUCCCUGUGGAGGAACGCAGGGCUGUGACAACUCGCAUUUGUUUUCCCAGCAUGUCAAGAUUUCGUUUUGCCAGGCAGGUGAAAGUGCUGACAGCAAACCGGGUAAUAAAUAUUAAUAGCGGGUAAAAGGAUGGAUCUUAAGCACCUGCUGCUCCUUACUGUUAAAAUCAGGUAUAAAAUGGAUAGGGGUCAAAAUAUCAAAAGCGAAAAAAGGUAAUGUCAUUCCUUUUAGAAAAGGAAAAGAAGGAAAUCAUGUCAAAACCAGCAGUACUGCAUGCACCAGGAGGGAGCAGGGCAGGUGCUAAAUGGAGGUGAAUUAAGGCAAAAGGGAUACAGAUGGGCUCAAUAGAGAGGAAAUGAGGAAGGUAAGAAAAGGGAGGGGGUGGCUGUGUGGGGAGGGACAGUGGCAGAAGGACACCUGUAGAAGGAGCAGCAUGAGGAGAGGACGUGGUUAGCGGCAGAGGACUGAUAAUCUGAGCAGACUUGAGAAUUACAGAUAUACACCCUGGUAUGUUUGGAGAGACCAGAUUUCCCUAGCAGUGUCUGGAUGAUGCCCUGCCUCUUGCCUCUCUCAGCAGUGGGUGUGUUGAUGACAAAGGGUAUGAGGAGGUAAAACCAUAAGGACUGCCUAGGAUCUAAUAAGUCAUGUAAUUCAUUUCUUCUUUGAGGAGAAAAACAUGCAGCUUGUUCUUGCUGUUCUAUGCACAAAUGUGAAGGGGAAAGUAAUUGGUCUUUGCUGCUCCUCUUGGUUCAAAUUACUGUCCUCUCUUCUCCCUCCAGAAUGGCCAUCUUUCACUUGAGUUUGGUGUUGGUCCAGAUUCAGUCUCCCAGAAUUCGUUUGUUAAAAUUGCAUUGUUGAAUGAGUCCUUGAUGUCAUGUUGUCCUUCUCAGAUGGAUGAGAAGCCUCUUUAUUACUGAUACUCCAACACAAUA